rnacentral:rRNA from 1 species
GACGCCGCGUGGAGGAUGAAGGUCUUCGGAUUGUAAACUCCUGUCAUUAGGGAACAAUGUGCAUGCGUUAACUGCGCGUGCAUUGAUAGUACCUGAAGAGGAAGGGACGGCUAACUCUGUGCCAGCACCUGCGGUGACUGAGCGGGCUGGCAAGGCGCAUA